AUGAUUGGUGCUAGAGGAACAAUUGGAUUCAUUGCUCCAGAAGUUCACUCACGAAACUUUGGACUUGUUUCAACAAAGUCAGAUGUUUAUAGUUAUGGAAUGAUGUUGCUCGGGAUGGUUGGAGGAAGGAAAAAUGUGAAAUCGGUGGCUCAAAAAUCCAGUGAAAAGUAUUUCCCAGAUUGGAUUUAUGAUCACUUUGCUCAAGAUGAUGGAUUAGAAGCAUGUCAAGUUACAUGUGACAUUGAGGAAAUUGCAAGAAAGAUGACCUUGAUUGGCUUGUGGUGCGUACAAGUAUUACCUGUGUAUCGCCCUACUAUAACCAAAGUUCUAGAAAUGUUUGAGAGAAGCUUAGAUGACAUGGCCAUGCCACCGAAGCAAAACUUCAGUGGACGACUCGAAAACUCAGCUCACAAUAUGAAUGUUCAAAGCGCAAGCUCUACGACAUCUGAGGAGAUAAGGCUUGUGAAUACAGGAAACGCACGACAAUUUCCACCUCUUUGA
rnacentral:rRNA from 1 species